GUGGGGAAUAUUGGACAAUGGGCGAAAGCCUGAUCCAGCAAUGCCGCGUGAGUGAUGAAGGCCCUAGGGUUGUAAAGCUCUUUUACCCGGGAUGAUAAUGACCGUACCGGGAGAAUAAGCCCCGGCUAACUCCGUGCCAGCAGCCGCGGUAAUACGGAGGGGGCUAGCGUUGUUCGGAAUUACUGGGCGUAAAGCGCACGUAGGCGGCUUUCUAAGUCAGAGGUGAAAGCCCGGGGCUCAACCCCGGAAUUGCCUUUGAGACUGGAUCGCUUGAAUCGCGGAGAGGUGAGUGGAAUUCCGAGUGUAGAGGUGAAAUUCGUAGAUAUUCGGAAGAACACCAGUGGCGAAGGCGGCUCACUGGACGCGUAUUGACGCUGAGGUGCGAAAGCGUGGGGAGCAAACAGG
rnacentral:rRNA from 1 species